rnacentral:rRNA from 1 species
UACGGAGGGUGCGAGCGUUGUCCGGAAUCAUUGGGCGUAAAGGGCGCGUAGGCGGCUUAACAAGUCACUUGUGAAAUCUCCGGGCUUAACUCGGAACGGCCAAGUGAAACUGUCAAGCUAGAGUGCAGAAGGGGCAAUCGGAAUUCUUGGUGUAGCGGUGAAAUGCGUAGAUAUCAAGAGGAACACCUGCGGCGAAGGCGGGUUGCUGGGCCGACACUGACGCUGAAGCGCGAAAGCCAGGGGAGCGAACGGG